ensembl:lincRNA 9230009I02Rik RIKEN cDNA 9230009I02 gene
GCAUAGGCUUGUUGCUCAUCGCGCAGUGCCCAGGACAUCCCAUCAAGGGCCAGGAGUCAGCUUAACAUGGAAGGAUAGGAGAUCAUUACCCUGCUGCCUAACAGGUGGAACUGGCUGUUGUGAUUCAUCUAUCACAGUUAAGGGAAAAGCCAGCUGGUGCAUUAACGUGCCCCAUUUUUACUUGUCCGGAAAAGAGCUGGGGAGGGGUUAUGCAUCUGUCAUUGCAGAGGGAUCCAUUGAAACACCACAGAUUCCUCUUCAGCUCCUCCAGCCCUGAGCCAUCAAAGACACCAGCAGAGGGUGAGGAGACAGUGUAAGUCACCAGGAAGAGAGCAAGCCUCCAGCUAAAGCAUAGAGGAGAUCAUGGCUCUUCCAUCAGAGUGGAGUCUGCCUACCCAGGGCCAAGUGACGGCCUGAGCACACAGGAGAAGUUAUUUCAUUAAUGACCCUGUGUUUAUGCCUGGACUUUGGGAUGUAACAGAUACACUCAUUCAUUUGAAGAAGAGAUUUUAAUUUUUCCUUAGGAUUUGAACCACUUCCCAUUUGCAUAGGACAUCAUGAAAUCUAUACCUGUAUUAAAGGCAAAUAUUGUGUCCUACAAGACACUAGAACUACUAGUCAUAUGGGUCUCUUUUCAAGCUGUUGUCUAGAUUUUUCUGAUCAAUAUAACAAUGUAACUCAUAGUGCCAGAUAUAGUUUGGAUCUCUGUUCUUGGAAUAUGACACACAAUGCCUUCACUGUUCUAAUACCCAUUGGUUAUGGGAUACACAUGCAUCAAAUGACAAUAACAUUUUUCUACAACAUCUCAAAUCAGAGCCACUCUGGAUAUCCUGCUAUCAAAAAACAGAAACAGAGGAGAUGGACGAGCACAUCCAAGAAUAGAGUUGAGUAACAGGGAUUCUGUGUGCUUGUGAGAAAACUCCAAGAAAACAAGGCAAGAGUUCUUCAAAACACAGACUUGUUCUUUGUUCAUGUUUUCAGGCAGAUGGGAGUGAGUUUACCUCAGCUGUUGUUAGUCACAUGCUUCUGUGGAAAACCUAUUUUUUGCCACAUGUGGUUUGUCCUUAUGAUUGAACACCUUACUCAUGCGAUUCUUAACCCUCAGAGUAUAAAUUAUCUGAUGUUCUAAAUAAAGUUGACCAUUGC